rnacentral:tRNA from 1 species
GCACUCGUAGCUCAGUCUGGACAGAGCAAUUGCCUUCGAAGCAAAAGGUCGUAGGUUCGAAUCCUACCGGGUGUA